rnacentral:rRNA from 1 species
UACGUAGGGGGCAAGCGUUGUCCGGAAUUAUUGGGCGUAAAGAGCGUGUAGGCGGUCCGGUAAGUCGGCUGUGAAAGUCCAGGGCUCAACCCUGGGAUGCCGGUGGAUACUGUCGGGCUCGAGUCCGGAAGAGGAGUGUGGAAUUCCUGGUGUAGCGGUGAAAUGCGCAGAUAUCAGGAGGAACACCAAUGGCGAAGGCAGCUCGCUAAACCAUAACUGACGCUGAGGCACGAAAGCGUGGGGAGCAAACAGG